GGGAAUAUUGGACAAUGGGCGCAAGCCUGAUCCAGCCAUGCCGCGUGGGUGAAGAAGGCCUUCGGGUUGUAAAGCCCUUUUGUUGGGAAAGAAAUCCUGUCGGCUAAUACCCGGCGGGGAUGACGGUACCCAAAGAAUAAGCACCGGCUAACUUCGUGCCAGCAGCCGCGGUAAUACGAAGGGUGCAAGCGUUACUCGGAAUUACUGGGCGUAAAGCGUGCGUAGGCGGUUCGUUAAGUCUGUCGUGAAAGCCCUGGGCUCAACCUGGGAAUGGCAUUGGAAACUGGCGGACUGGAGUGCGGUAGAGGGUAGCGGAAUUCCCGGUGUAGCAGUGAAAUGCGUAGAGAUCGGGAGGAACAUCCGUGGCGAAGGCGGCUACCUGGACCAGCACUGACACUGAGGCACGAAAGCGUGGGGAGCAAACA
rnacentral:rRNA from 1 species